rnacentral:lncRNA from 11 species
AAAUUCUGACAACUGAUUUAGUUUUCAAAUCUUUUCUCGUAGGUCAUUCCACAGUCUCAUGGUGACCGAUGAAAAUCUCCAGAGCCGCUGUUGCAAUGACGAAAAACAACAAAGAAAAGUGGCACCCCAUUUUCCCUACAUCGUGGGACAUAGGAAAAGCAUGAUGAACAGCUGGCAUGGCCUAAUCAUCAGCAAAAAAAGAAAUGAAAAGGAGCUGUAAACCAAACAGGAAACAGAGAAGAAGUCUGAAUCAAACUUUCAGCCUCCAAAUGUGCAAACGGGGAGGGAAAAAAAAGUAAAACAACAGAUCCAAACCUUACUGAAUUGCAGGCAAAACACCAAAGGAAGUGCCAGUGGCCUGAGCAAUAAAACAGCCUCACAGUGCUGUCACUUUGGAUGCCAGCUGCCGGCACUGGUUCAGCAGUGGGUGGCUGCCUUCACAGGCCUGCUGCCGGAUGGCCUUUUACAAAUCAGC